UGCCGUAUGAUGGCCGCGAUCUGUGCCUCCGUGGUCACCGCGGGGUGUGGAGAGCUGGGCUCCACCGCCGGUGGUGGCGGGGAGGCCUCUUCCCGACGGGAAGAGCGCCUUGCCGAUCCAGUGAUUCUCGAUCGUUGAGCUCUUGUCUUUGUCAUGCUGUCCCCUACCUGGUGCGCCAAUCUGUUGCGGCCAAUCGCCUCG
rnacentral:lncRNA from 1 species